UACGAAGGGUGCAAGCGUUACUCGGAAUUACUGGGCGUAAAGCGUGCGUAGGUGGUGCGUUAAGUCUGUCGUGAAAGCCCCGGGCUCAACCUGGGAAUGGCGAUGGAUACUGGCGCGCUAGAGUGCGGUAGAGGAGAGUGGAAUUCCCGGUGUAGCAGUGAAAUGCGUAGAGAUCGGGAGGAACAUCAGUUGCGAAGGCGGCCCUCUGGACCAGCACUGACACUGAGGCACGAAAGCGUGGGGAGCAAACAGG
rnacentral:rRNA from 1 species